GAAUAGUUAAGGAUUUCCUGAACUAUGAUUUAUGGAAGGAUGGACUCUGGUUUAUGAAAAGUUGAUUAUCAAAGUUUGAUUUGGAAUUAUUCUAUCAUUGAUAUUGAUUGUGUUUAUGUUUUGUUGUUAUACGUUGACCUGUUAUUGAAUUAUAGAAUUGGAUUAUUGUUUUUAUAUAAACCUGUGGACCAGAUUCGUGGUCAUGUUAGGCCAAUGAGUGCCUUGGAUCCAGUGAUAGAGCAUGGCGGGGCCUGCUCGGGGUUAGUGCGGAACUGAUCAGCUGCCUAACCUUGGUUUUAAUUAAAAUGUGAUAGUCCAAUUCAAUAAUUCUUUUGGAAAAAUUGAAUUCCUCAGUAUUCAAUUGCUGCAAGGUAUUGUGAUUUUCUUAUACAAUACCUAAACUCGUGAACUCAGGUUGAAUCCUUUUAUAUCUUGAACUCUUGAACUUCUGUUAUAUCAUUUCAGAAUUAUCACUGUUUAUUACUACUUGCGGAGCAUUGUUGCUCACCCUUGCUAUUCCUUUCUAACCAUUUCAGAAAGGCUUAAAGAUGAGAUGAUUGAUUGAGAUUGUGAGUAAGGCUAAUGCUAGGCGAGGAGACAGAGUUGAGGAUCCAGUGGUCGAGGAGUGUUCAGGAAAGUUGAUGAGGUUGGUGCAAGCUGGAAUAGUUGACAGUGAUUCUUCUUAUCGAAGAUGAUCUGAUUUGGUAAGAGAUGUUGUGUAAUAAUAGUGGUAGAUUCUAAUUUCAAUACUGUAACCUGGAUGCGAUCCUGUUGUUUUGGGGGGUUUAAAUGUUCUCUUUUAAAUCUUUUAUUUAACGUCUUUCAAAUCUUUUAUUAAAUGUUUUCAAGUUUUAAAUCUUUUGGAUUUUCAUUAUCUUUAAAAAAAAAAAAAAAAAUACAGGUUUUCAAGGGUGUUUUUAAAAGGUUUUGUGUGGUGACGUCAGAAUCCAGGCCCCCGGAUUCCUGGACUGUCACAGUUGGUAUCAGAGCAACAGGUUAUAAGUAUUUGAAAUUAGAAUAUAGAUCCUAGUUAUAGGUUUUCUAGAGAAGAAUGUGGUGUAACCUCACAUAGAGGUAUGGUCGGACUAUUUAGGAAUAGUCUAGAAAUGUGAGUGAAGCAUAGAGUUUAGUUAGAUGAUCAAGUUAAGUGGGGAUAUUUAAAGAGAUUAGGAUUCUUAAGUUUAGACGUAUGAUUUCUAGUAUGUUGAUUAAUUGAGAUAGUGAAUUGUGGAAAAGGUCAGUAUUAGACCUAUAUAGAAGAGUUUGAUAGUAAAUGAUUGAGUUGAGAAUGGUGAAAAUGCAGAGUUCAGAGUAUUCUGACUAUACUGCAUAGUUAAAAAUGGUCUAUGGUAUUGAUUUGAGAAUGAUAAAGAUGCAUGGUUCAUAGUAUGUUGACCAUGUCAGAUAUUUGGAAAAGGUAUAUUGUUUUAGUGAGAUGUGAAGAGUUACUGUAAGAUAUGAGUUGUACUGAAUUAGAAGGAGAGAUUUGUAGAUAGAGGUUGAUAGAUGAGAAGUGCAUGAUAGAGAGUAUGUGGAAUUGAGUCCAGUUAUUAGAGAUGAUGUCUACGAGUCAAUUAGAACGUUAGUCCUCGACGACAACGCUUCAAGUUAAUCGGGAUUUCAAAUGGCAUCAAGGUGGGCCCAUAACCCACAGGUUGAUGAUCCAGACAAUCGAAGAUACGUUACGUGUUUGUGCUAUGGAUUUCAAAGGCAACUGGGAUAAAGAAGAAGAAUGUAAACUACUUGGGCCAGAGUUAUUACGGACGAUAACGUCUACGAUGACAUCUUACGAGACUAUUACGAGUCAAAUCGAUUGAUUGUCGAGAACGUUGAAAGGAUAACAUAAAUUGAAUAACGAUUUCGUAAAGUAGAGUGGGAAUUUGAGAAGACCUUGGCAAUAUCUCUCUUCAACUAAAAAUUCUUUUGAUUGUUUUCUCAUCAGUGAGAUAUUAUCAUGAUAUCUUUUCUAUAAAAGUUUUGAUAAAUGAGAUCUUCAAUUUCUCAAAUUCUAAGAUGAUAAUGAUAUUGAUUAUUGGUGUGAGUUAGUAUUGAAUCGGUGUAUGAUAAAGGCGUGUUUAUGAAGAGACAGUGGAAUUCCUUGAUAUUCUUUCAUCAUCCUUGAUAUUCCUUGAUGUUCUUUGAUAUUCUCGAGAUUCUUUGACAUUCGUUGAUAUUCCUUGACCAAUGGUGAAAAUGCAGAGUUCAGAGUAUUCUGACUAUACUGCAUAGUUAAAAAUGGUCUAUGGUAUUGAUUUGAGAAUGAUAAAGAUGCAUGGUUCAUAGUAUGUUGACCAUGUCAGAUAUUUGGAAAAGGUAUAUUGUUUUAGUGAGAUGUGAAGAGUUACUGUAAGAUAUGAGUUGUACUGAAUUAGAAGGAGAGAUUUGUAGAUAGAGGUUGAUAGAUGAGAAGUGCAUGAUAGAGAGUAUGUGGAAUUGAGUCCAGUUAUUAGAGAUGAUGUCUACGAGUAAGUUAGAACGUUAGUCCUCGACGACAACGCUUCGAGCUAAUCGGGAUUUCAAAUGGCAUCAAGGUGGGCCCAUAACCCACAGGUUGAUGAUCCAGACAAUCGAAGAUACGUUACGUGUUUGUGCUAUGGAUUUCAAAGGCAACUGGGAUAAAGAAGAAGAAUGUAAACUACUUGGGCCAGAGUUAUUACGGACGAUAACGUCUACGAUGACAUCUUACGAGACUAUUACGAGUCAAAUCGAUUGAUUGUCGAGAACGUUGAAAGGAUAACAUAAAUUGAAUAACGAUUUCGUAAAGUAGAGUGGGAAUUUGAGAAGACCUUGGCAAUAUCUCUCUUCAACUAAAAAUUCUUUUGAUUGUUUUCUCAUCAGUGAGAUAUUAUCAUGAUAUCUUUUCUAUAAAAGUUUUGAUAAAUGAGAUCUUCAAUUUCUCAAAUUCUAAGAUGAUAAUGAUAUUGAUUAUUGGUGUGAGUUAGUAUUGAAUCGGUGUAUGAUAAAGGCGUGUUAUGAAGAGACAGUGGAAUUCCUUGAUAUUAUUGAUAUUCUGUGAUAUCCCUUGAUAUUCUUCCAUAUUCUUUGAUAUCCCUUAAUAUUCGUUGAUAUUCGUUGACAUUCUUUGACACUCUUUGAUAUUCCUUGAUAUCUUUUCGAUAUUCCUUAAUAUAUUCCUCGAUAAUCCUUAACAUUCCUUGAUGCUCCUUGAGAUUUCUUGGAUUCUUUCCAUCUGAUUGGGAUGAACAACCCUAUGUAUAGGGGACACAAGGUAUACCUGUCUGUGUGAUAGGAGUUGGAUGGGACGCCAUCACUUGUGUGUGUUGUGAUUACAAGAAGGUUAAAAACCUUUAGUAGUGUCUAAUAUGGACACGCAACAUGAAGUUCAUUUGAUCGUAUUGAUCUCCCAGUCACUCUUGUAUUCCAAUGUGACCUAUUUUGAAAAUAUCUUGUUCCUCCGAAAUUCCCAAAGAUUGAUUCUUGGGAAAUGAAGUUUGCAAUUGUGAAGGUUUUGAUUCUCCUAUUUCUUUAACUUUGAAGGGUAUGCCAAAGUUGAGCAAAGGCGGACGAGCAUGUGAUAUUAUGAAGCGUGUACAAUGAUCUUAUAAAUGAUACGUUUUAGUUCUCAUCGCGGAUUCUGAGGACAGAAUCCUUAUAAGGGGGUGGAAUGUAAUAUCCCAUAUUAUUAAAUUUAGAUUUGAUUAUUAUAAAUCUAUUUGUCUAGAUAUUAUUGUUGUCUGUAGUUGAAUAUUGAUGUGAUUAUGUGAAAUAGUUGUAUGUGAUUAUACUUGUUUCAUGGAUUAAUAUGGAUUUUACAGAUUUUUCGUCCUCCUUCUUUCUUUGAUUCCGAGGACGGAAUCCCUAUAAGGAGGGUAGAUUGUAAUGACCCGGAUUUUUAAAAAUUUUUAUUAGUAUUAAAAGUGAUUUUCUUUAAAGAAGGGUCGAUAAUCCCUAAUAUUCUUGAUGCUCCUUGAGAUUUCUUGGAUUCUUUCCAUCUGAUUGGGAUGAACAACCCUAUGUAUAGGGGACACAAGGUAUACCUGUCUGUGUGAUAGGAGUUGGAUGGGACGCCAUCACUUGUGUGUGUUGUGAUUACAAGAAGGUUAACAACCUUUAGUAGUGUCUAAUAUGGACACGCAACAUUAAGUUCAUUUGAUCGUAUUGAUCUCCCAGUCAUUCUUGUAUUCCAAUGUCACCUAUUUUGAAAACAUCUUGUUCUAUUCGAAAAUUCCCAAAGAUCGAUUCUUGGGAAAUGAAUUUUGCAAUCGCGAAAGUGUGAUUUUCCUUUUCCAUUAAAGUCAAAGGUAUGCCAAGAUCAAUCGAAGGUGGAUGACGAUAUGAUAUUACGAAGUGUGUACGUUUUAGUUUCUUCGGAGGAUUCCGAGGACGGAAUCCUUAUAAGGGGGGUAGAAUGUAAUAUCCCAUAUUAUUAAAUUUAGAUUUGAUUAUUAUAAAUCUAUUUGUCUAAAUAUUAUUGUUGGCUUUAGUUGAAAAGUGAAUUGAUUAUGUGAAUAGUUUUAUGUGAUUAUACUUGUUAUGUGGAUUAAUAUGGAUUUUACAGAUUAUGCGUCCUCCUUCUUUCUCUGAUUCCGAGGACGGAAUCCCUAUAAGGAGGGUAGAUUGUAAUAACCCGGAUUUUAAAAAUAUUUUUAUUAAUAUUAUAAAUGAUUUUCUUAAAAAGAAAGGAAUAAGAUUUAAUAUUUUAUUCCAGUUUAAUGAGUUUUCAAGGUUUUAUAUUUAAACCCCGGGUUAUUGUGUUAUUGAUAAAUAAUUGUAUUUUCAAAACUGAUUUUCAUAUAUUGUUUUGAAAAUUCUGUAUGAAUAUUAUGUGAAUAUAUGUGUUAUGUGAUUAAGUGGUAUUGGUGGAUUUGUUGGUUAAUUAAUUAUGGUUAAUUAUGAGUAUUAUAUGAUUAAUAUAUGAAUUUUUGUGAAUUUUAUAUUAUCUGGUUUAUUGCGUUAACUGCUCAUAUGUGUUCGUAUUUGAGAGAUUUCAAUUUCUAUAUGCUCAGGAGAAAAUAUAGUUUAUUUGGAUAUUUUCAUAUCGAUUUAUGGAAUGUUAGAUGAUUUUAUAAUCGAUUUACGGAUUUAAUUGUGUAUAUUUAUAUUUAUUUAUUAAUUAUUUGACUUCCGUAAAACCGUCCACUCGUAACGAGGUACCAAAUUUUCUUCCCGGAAGUUUCAACAAAACUCACCUUUAGCCUAAUUUGAAUAUUCCGGACAUUUUUCGUGUUUUGACUUUUUCGAUCCGGAGUACGGUUUUCCCCGGAGUCGGUCCGGCGGAGUUUUUCGGGUAUUGUAAUUGUUGAUAAUUAUCCAGUUUGUCUCGAUAAACGUGAAACGAGAUAUUUUCUUCAUCCUUAUCUUGUCAUAAUUGCCAUGGGACCCGCAGACCAAUAAUUGAGUUAAAAAGCCCCGUUUUGAUGAUUAUCUCGAAAACCAGUAUCGAUUGGACCCCGCUUUAUUAAUAUAAAGCUACUAAAUAUGUAUUUUCAUGUCAUAAACGAUCCAAAGGGGUACCAAUUAUUUGUAAAUAUAAAUAUAUCUUUCUAGAGCUUAUUUUCACCGUAGAAAUCAUUUCACCAGUUUCUCUGCACGAAUACCGAGAGAAACCGAGCGGUGUUCUUCGUGUUCUUCAUAAUCAAACGUGGAUUUGAAGGCGUUAUUGGAGUCAGAAUCAAGCGUGCGAAUAGUCAAAUCGAAGAUAUCGAAGAGUAGAACCCAGAUCAAUCAUCAAAAACAACAUGAGAUUCACAGGUAGGGAGUAAUUGAAGGUUUAAAAUUCGAAGUACUAUGAUUUGAAUAGUGAAUUUUUGCAAACGAUGUUGUUUGAUUGUUUUGAUGAUUCCAUGUUGUAGAGCAUCUUCUGCCAUUCGUUUUCAUAUAUCAUAUGUUAGAUUUUGAGUCCAGUAACAUGCUCAAAUAUGUGUUUGAUUCUUCGAAAUUGUAAACUAGGGUUCUUGAGCGAGUUUGAAUGUUUCAAAUUGGGUUUGGGGGUUUCUUAUCCUGUAAAUCUGGGCUGUUUUUGUUGGAAUCAUCGUGUAGAGCUUGAAGAGGGGAAUCGUUUGAUGAUAAGAAGGUGUGUGGAGGAAGCCAGGAGCGUCCCCGCCGGAGCUGCGAAGCUAGCCGGCGGUGAGCCCUGUUCUUCAUCGUUUUCCGGCCAUAAUCGGCCGCCUUUAAUGAUUUUGAGUGUAUAUAUGUGAUGCUAGGAGUGUGUGUAACUGGUCUGGAGGUUCUGGGGUCGAACGGCGGUCUGCAACGCCGUUUCCGGCGAGUCGGGGCGCCGGCGGUAUCAAAUUACCGUUUGGUACCCUGGCUUUUGGAAACAGUGAAGUUUUAGUAUUCUCGUUUCUGUUUUAGCAAGACAGACCCUAAACUUUUCAGAGUUUACACUUUAAACCCUGGACAAAACUUUCAAAAGUUUACACUUUAAACCUUUUGAAUUUAAUUGUCAAAAAUUGUUUUAUUUAAUUAUUUUAAAUUCCAAAAAUAGUUUUUAAUUAUUUAUUUAUUCAAAAAUAAAUCUAAAUUAGUUUAUUAAUUACUUUUAAUUAGUAAUUAAUUAUUUUAAUUGGUCAAUUAAUUUAAAUAUUAAUUGAUUAAUUAUUUUAAUUAAUUAUUAAUUGAUUUUAAUUGAUUAAUUAAUUGGAUUUAAUUAUUCUUUUUGAUUUAAAAAUUCUGAAAAAUAGUUUCGAGCUUUGAAAUAUUUUUCUAAAUUAUGUUCAAGGCUCGACAAUUGUUUAUGAAUGAUUUCAAGUCCAAUUUCAAGUAUUUGGGACUUGAUUAUUUAUCCGAAAAGUGAUUCUUUUAUCGAUUUUAAUUCCGAAAAAUGUUUAAAAAUUCCAGAAAAUUCCCGAAAAAUCAUUUUUAACCCAAGACUUGAUUUAAUAUCAAUUGGGAUGGGAAACCUUAUGUGUUGUGUGUUGUCUGCUAUUGGUUGGAUGUGUUAUGUGCCGAUAGGAGAGUGAGAAAACUGUUUUGAGCAUAACUUUUGAUCCGUAAGUCGGAAUCAAGUGAAACGAAAGAGAGACAGAAGCUUAUAACGUCUAUUUUAAUAUGAUGUGACUAUAUGGCUGAGUCUAUAAGGUGAAUAAUUGUUGAUAAGUAUGCAUAAUGUGAUAAUAUGUGAUCUAAGUGCUAUCAAGUGAUGAUUAUGUGAAGUACGUGUUAGUUUUGAUAUUGUGAAGUGAUAAAUGAUUCGUAUGAUUGAUAUUGGAUAAGAAUAUAUGGAUUAUAGUUAUUGGAUUUUGUUGGUUGAUUAAUGAUUGAGAUAGGAUAAUAGGUGGAUAGUCUUAUACAUAGACGAGACGAUGUCGGAUUUUCGAUAAGGAUUUAUAUGAUAAUUGAUUGGUGAUAUGUUAUGUGGAAUAUGAUUGACUAUAUGUUAGAGUCAAAGCAUGCUUAUGUGUUACGUGGUAUCUGAUAAGUUUAAAGGGAUAUAUAAGUGGGUAUCGGUAUACGUGAUAUGUAUAUGCGAUAUAUUGUUUAGUGACUAUAGUAUUAUCUUAUUCUCGUAAAGGAUUUGGACGAGACGUGUACGCUCGAAGACGUCAGGAAGUCGAAAUGGUAUUGCAAAGCGAAUAAGGGAUGAAUCGAGUAAGCGAAGCGAUGUGGCGAAUAGAGUAUAGCUAGAGAUGGUCUAGAGAUUACGAGAUGCAUAGAUUGUGAAAGUUGAAAGAUGAGAUUGAGCUGUGAAACUGGAGUCAGAUUUAAGGCAAGUAUCCUAAACCCUUCUCUUGGAUAUAUUGCAAAUAUUCUGAUCCAUUCCUUUGGUAUAUGUUUCAAGUAUUCAUACCUUUCUUUUCAAUGUUCGAAAGUGCGAGUAUUCUGACCCAUUCUUUCUAAUCUUCAAGUUUCUAAAGAAUUUCCGUUUUACAAAUUAAUUCGAAGUUCAGAUUGUCAUUGAAGCAUGUGUUGCUCAGUGAUAGUUAGAGCUUUGAAUGAAUUGGGAUCUUCUUGAUUAUUCAACCCGCCAUUGUCAUGCUGGUUUAGCAGGCUAAAUUCAGUUGCUUAGCCGAUAAUGGAGGAUACUGAAUAGUUGAGGAUUUCCUGAACUGUGAUUUAUGAAAUGAUGGAUCAUGAUUUAUGAAUAGAUUAUUAUCAAAGUUUGAAUUGGAAUUAUUCUGUUGUUGAUGAUAUUUAUGAUGAUGUUCUGUUAAUUUACAUUGGCUUCUUGAAUUGAAUUAGAGAAUUGGAUUAUUGUUUUUAUAUAAACCUGUGGACCAGAUUCGUGGUCAUGUUAGGCCAAUGAGUGCCUUGGAUCCAGUGAUAGAGCAUGGCGGGGCCUGCUCGGGGUUAGUGCGGAACUGAUCAGCUGCCUAACCUUGGUUUUAAUUAAAAUGUGAUAGUCCAAUUCAAUAAUUCUUUGGAAAGAUUGAAUUUCUCAGUUUAAAUGCUGCAAGGUAUUGUAAAUCAUUCUAUACAAUACCAUGAACUCAUGAACUCAGGUUGAAUCCUCUUAUAUCUUGAACUCGUGAACUUCUGUUAUAUCAUUUCAGAACUAUCAUUGUUUAUUAUUACUUGCUGAGCAUUGUUGCUCACCCUUGCUAUUCCUUUCUAACCAUUUCAGAAAGGCUUAAAG
rnacentral:lncRNA from 1 species